rnacentral:miRNA from 1 species
GCAGACACAUUCCAGCCAGUCAGCAGCAGACCCUCACUCCCAGACCCUCCCACCACUAAGAAUGCAGCUUCACAAUGAAUGUAAAAUGGAUGCUGUCCAGGAGGUGGGAGGGUCUGGGAGGGAGGGUCUGCUGCUGAUUGGCUGAAAUGUGUCUG